AUUGAACGCUGGCGGCAUGCCUUACACAUGCAAGUCGAACGCGAAAGCGGGGCAACCCGCAAGUAGAGUGGCGAACGGGUGAGUAAUACAUCGGAACAUAUCCAGUAGCGGGGGAUAACCUAUCGAAAGAUGGACUAAUACCGCAUACGAUCUACGGAUGAAAGCAGGGGACCGCAAGGCCUUGCACUAUUGGAGUGGCCGAUGUCGGAUUAGCUAGUUGGUGGGGUAAAAGCCUACCAAGGCGACGAUCCGUAGCUGGUCUGAGAGGACGAGCAGCCACACUGGAACUGAGACACGGUCCAGACUCCUACGGGAGGCAGCAGUGGGGAAUUUUGGACAAUGGGGGCAACCCUGAUCCAGCCAUGCCGCGUGAGUGAAGAAGGCCUUCGGGUUGUAAAGCUCUUUCGGUGAAGACGAAACGGUUCAUGCCAAUACCAUGAACUAAUGACGGUACUCACAGAAGAAGCACCGGCUAACUACGUGCCAGCCGCCGCCGUAAAAC
rnacentral:rRNA from 1 species